rnacentral:rRNA from 1 species
UCCUACGGGGCGCAGCAGUGAGGAAUAUUGGUCAAUGGACGAGAGUCUGAACCAGCCAAGUAGCGUGAAGGAUGACUGCCCUAUGGGUUGUAAACUUCUUUUAUAUGGGAAUAAAGUUUUCCACGUGUGGAAUUUUGUAUGUACCAUAUGAAUAAGGAUCGGCUAACUCCGUGCCAGCAGCCGCGGUAAUACGGAGGAUGCGAGCGUUAUCCGGAUUUAUUGGGUUUAAAGGGUGCGUAGGCGGGACCUUAAGUCCGCGGUAAAAUUGCGGUGCUCAACGCCGUAGAGCCGUUGAAACUGGGGUU